UGCAGGGAUAAAAUGGUAAUUUUAAUACUUUUCAAAAUUAUGAUUUUACAGUGAAAAGAUAUUAAUUAAUCUAAUUAAUUAACAUAAAUUUAUCCUAUACUAGGAUCUAAAUAUGAUAUAUAGCAUGCAUGCAUUUAAAUUUAAAAUUCGAAUUUGAACAAUAAACACUUUACUAUAAUAUGUUCAGAACACAAUACCUUUGUGCGGGUAG
rnacentral:lncRNA from 1 species